rnacentral:tRNA from 2 species
GCCCGGGUAGCUCAGUCGGUAGAGCGUUAAUCCAACGGUCUAGGGUUCAAGUCCCUAUCCGGGCG